rnacentral:rRNA from 1 species
UACAGAGGUCUCAAGCGUUGUUCGGAUUCAUUGGGCGUAAAGGGUGCGUAGGCGGCGGGGCAAGUCGGAUGUGAAAUCUCAGGGCUCAACCCUGAAACUGCAUUCGAUACUGCUCUGCUCGAGGACUGGAGAGGAGAUUGGAAUUCACGGUGUAGCAGUGAAAUGCGUAGAUAUCGUGAGGAAGACCAGUGGCGAAGGCGGAUCUCUGGACAGUUCCUGACGCUGAGGCACGAAGGCCAGGGGAGCAAACAGG